rnacentral:rRNA from 4 species
UGUGAACUGCAGGACACAUGAACAUCGACAUUUCGAACGCACAUUGCGGUCCUCGGAUACGAUUCCCGGACCACGCCUGGCUGAGGGUC